CGUGAGGGAAAGGUGAAAAGUACCCCGGAAGGGGAGUGAAAUAGUACCUGAAACCAUACGCCUACAAGCGGUCGGAGCAUCUUCGGAUGUGACGGCGUGCUUUUUGCAUAACGAGCCUGCGAGUUACUCUUCAGUGGCAAGGUUAAGCGAUGAGCGGAGCCGCAGCGAAAGCGAGUCUGAAUAGGGCGACAUAGUCAUUGGAGGUAGACCCGAAACUGAGCGAGCUAUCCAUGGGCAGGUUGAAGCGUGGGUAAGACCACGUGGAGGACCGAACCGACCUAGGGUGAAAACUGGGCGGAUGACCUGUGGAUCGGAGUGAAAGGCUAAUCAAGCUCAGAGAUAUCUGGUUCUCUCCGAAAUAUAUUUAGGUAUAGCGUCGAGUGUUAUAUGUUGUGGCCGUAGAGCACUGCUUGGACUAGGGGCCCCACCAGGUUACCGACUUCAGGCAAACUCCGAAGACCAUUACAUUUAGCUCGGCAGUCAGCGCAUGGGGGAUAAACUUCAUGUGCGAGAGGGGAACAACCCAGACCGUCGGUUAAGGUCCCUAAGUACUAGCUAAGUGGUAAACGAUGUCCGAAUGCAUAGACAACCAAGAGGUUGGCUUAGAAGCAGCCACCCUUGAAAGAGUGCGUAACAGCUCACUGGUCAAGUGUUCGGGCGCGGAUAAUGUAACGGGGCUAAAGCUAGUCACCGAAACUACGGGUUCAUGACCCUGCGGGGUUCAUGAGCGGUAGGAGAGCGUUCUCAGUGUGUAAGCGUUGGCGUAAGCCUUCGUGCGGUGCUGAGAAGUGAGAAUGCAGGCAUGAGUAACGAAAGAGGGGUGAGAAUCCCCUCCACUGAUUGUCCGAGGUUUCCUGAGUAAAGUUCGUCUGCUCAGGGUUAGUCGGGACCUAAGGCGAGGCCGAAAGGCGUAGUCGAUGGCGAACAGGUUGAUAUUCCUGUACCACGUUGGAUCCGUUAUGACCGAUGGGGGGACGGGGAAGGGUAAGAGAACCCAGGCGAUGGUUGUCCUGGGGCAAGUACGUAGCCAGUCGCUGUAGGAAAAUCCGCAGCGGCGUUUUUACGCGAGGUGCGAUGCCAGCUGGAUUAAGUUCCGGCCAGUCUCUGAGCCCAUGCCUCCAAGAAAAGCCUCUAGGCAGGAUCCAUGUGCCCGUACCGAUAACCGACACAGGUGGACAAGUAGAAGAUACUAAGGUGAGCGAGAUAACCAUCGUUAAGGAACUCGGCAAAAUCGCCCCGUAACUUCGGGAUAAGGGGCGCCUCGAUAGGGUGAAGUCCAUACGGAUGGAGCUCGAGGAGGCCGCAGUGAAUUGGUCCAACCGACUGUUUACCAAAAACACAGGGCUCUGCUAAGUCGCAAGACGACGUAUAGGGCCUGACGCCUGCCCGGUGCUGGAAGGUUACGCGGACUUGUUAGCUCUUCGGAGCGAAGCAAUGAAGCUAAGCCCCAGUAAACGGCGGCCGUAACUAUAACGGUCCUAAGGUAGCGAAAUUCCUUGUCGGGUAAGUUCCGACCUGCACGAAUGGCGUAACGAUGGCCACACUGUCUCCUCCUGAGACUCAGCGAAGUUGAAAUGUUUGUGAAGAUGCAAUCUCCCCGCGGCUAGACGGAAAGACCCCAUGAACCUUUACUGUAGCUUUGCAUUGGACUUUGACGGGACUUGUGUAGGAUAGGUGGGAGGCUUUGAAGCCAGGACGCUAGUUCUGGUGGAGCCAUCCUUGAAAUACCACCCUGGUGUCGUUGAGGUUCUAACCUUGGUCCGUGAAUCCGGAUCGGGGACCGUGCAUGGUAGGCAGUUUGACUGGGGCGGUCUCCUCCCAAAGUGUAACGGAGGAGUUCGAAGGUACGCUAGUUACGGUCGGACAUCGUGACGAUAGUGCAAUGGCAUAAGCGUGCUUAACUGCGAGACUGACAAGUCGAGCAGAUGCGAAAGCAGGACAUAGUGAUCCGGUGGUUCUGUAUGGAAGGGCCAUCGCUCAACGGAUAAAAGGUACUCCGGGGAUAACAGGCUUAUCUCCCCCAAGAGUCCACAUCGACGGGGAGGUUUGGCACCUCGAUGUCGGCUCAUCGCAUCCUGGGGCUGAAGUAGGUCCCAAGGGUUGGGCUGUUCGCCCAUUAAAGC
rnacentral:rRNA from 1 species